GCAAGUCGAACGCGAAAGUUUUCUUCGGAAAAUGAGUAGAGUGGCGCACGGGUGAGUAACGCGUAAAUAAUCUACCCUUGCAUCUGGAAUAACUCACCGAAAGGUGUGCUAAUACCGGAUACGUUCUUUUGGUCGCGAGAUCAUUAGAAGAAAGGUGGCCUCUGAUAUAAGCUACUGUGCGGGGAGGAGCUUGCGUACCAUUAGCUAGUUGGUAGGGUAACGGCCUACCAAGGCGACGAUGGUUAGCGGGUCUGAGAGGAUGAUC
rnacentral:rRNA from 1 species